UCUCUAAUGAUGAUGUUGAUGGUGGCAGGGCUUGGCAAGGCGAGGUGUAGGCUCGAUGAUGUUAGCAUGGAGGUGGGACUGUGGGGAUGGUGUUGUAACAGCGGGGACUUCAAUGCGACUAGGGUACCGUUGCCGUGAAGAAAAUGGUUUAUUUUGAUUACAUCCCCACUUAUCUAAAAGGCUAAGCUUCUAUGGAGGGGUGCUGAGUGUUGGAAUGAGUGUUUAAAGCUUUUGGGCGUUGCUGAAGCAGCAGAAGCAUCAAUGGAUUCUGACCAGUUAAGCUCUGGAAUUUCAGAUUUUGAUACUCACUUUCAAGGCCUCAUAGUUUAGAAAAGUGAUGAUGACGACUCUGAGAAUGAGUCAGCACUUGAAAUUCAUCCAUACUUGAUGGAAGAAAAAUGUAAGACUGCAAUUCCUUUGUUAAUAAUGUUGUACUGUUUUUUUUUUGCCUCCCCUCAUUGAAGUGCUCAUGCUUUUGAUAUUUUUUUUCCCUAGAAUUUUAAUGAUUUCUCAUCUCCUAC